rnacentral:rRNA from 1 species
CAUCACUACGCUAGAUGCAUAUCAAUAAGCGGAGGAAAAGAAACUAACAAGGAUUCCCCUUAGUAACGGCGAGUGAAGCGGGAAGAGCUCAAAUUUGAAAUCUUCAAGGGUUCUACCUUUACGAAUUGUAGUUUAAUAGAAGUGUUUUCUGUUAGUAGAGUGGCUAAAAGUUCUUUGGAAUAGGACAUCAUAGAGGGUGAGAAUCCCGUAUUUGGUCAGUUACUUUCUAGCUGUGUGAUACACUUUCAACGAGUCGGAUUGUUUGGGAAUGCAGUCCAAGAUGGGUGGUAAAUUUCAUCUAAAGCUAAAUAUUGGCGAGAGACCGAUAGCAAACAAGUACCGUGAGGGAAAGAUGAAAAGAACUUUGAAAAGAGAGUUAAACAGUACGUGAAAUUGUCAAAAGGGAAGCGUUUGUACACCAGUGUUGUUUAGUUCGAAAAUCAAUUACGAAUAGUUUUGAUUUUGAGUAGUUAUGACUUCAUCAGCUUGCUUCUCUCUUAUGAAACUUUCUUGAAUGCACUUUUCAGUUAACAAGUCAACAUCAACUUCCUUUGUUGUAAAAGGGUAUGAGGAAGGUGGCUUGCGCUUUCGGAUAAAGUGUUUAUAGCCUUGUAUCUCUGCAAUCGGAGAGAUUGAGGUCUGUAGCGUAGAUCCUUCGGGGUUAGAUACAUUGGUGCUAAGUUAUAGCUUGUCAUAGACAACUUGUAGACUAUGUUCAGUCUUGUAGCUUACUCGCUUACUGCUAUUUUACCUACGCUUAGGAUGUUGACACACGCGCGUGCUCG